rnacentral:rRNA from 1 species
UACGUAGGGGGCAAGCGUUGUCCGGAUUCAUUGGGCGUAAAGAGCGUGUAGGCGGUCAGGUAGGUCCGUUGUGAAAACUCGAGGCUCAACCUCGAGACGCCGAUGGAAACCAUCUGACUAGAGUCCGGAAGAGGAGAGUGGAAUUCCUGGUGUAGCGGUGAAAUGCGCAGAUAUCAGGAAGAACACCCGUGGCUAAGGCGGCUCUCUAGUACGGUACUGACGCUGAGACGCGAAAGCGUGGGGAGCGAACAGG